rfam:Myotis brandtii contig281403, whole genome shotgun sequence.
GCCCAUGUGGCUCAAUGGUGAGAGUAAUGGCCUGCCCACCAAAGGGUUGUAGGUUCAAUUUCUGGUCAAGGGCA